UGGGGAAUUUUGGACAAUGGGCGAAAGCCUGAUCCAGCAAUGCCGCGUGUGUGAAGAAGGCCUUCGGGUUGUAAAGCACUUUUGUCCGGAAAGAAAUCCUUGGCUCUAAUACAGUCGGGGGACGACGGUACCGGAAGAAUAAGCACCGGCUAACUACGUGCCAGCAGCCGCGGUAAUACGUAGGGUGCAAGCGUUAAUCGGAAUUACUGGGCGUAAAGCGUGCGCAGGCGGUUUGCUAAGACCGAUGUGAAAUCCCCGGGCUCAACCUGGGAACUGCAUUGGUGACUGGCAGGCUAGAGUAUGGCAGAGGGGGGUAGAAUUCCACGUGUAGCGGUGAAAUGCGUAGAGAUGUGGAGGAAUACCGAUGGCGAAGGCAGCCCCCUGGGCCAAGUACUGACGCUCAUGCACGAAAGCGUGGGGAGCAAACAGGAUUAGAUACCCUGGUAGUCCACGCCCUAAAACGAUGUCAACUAGUUGUUGGGGAUUCAUUUCCUUAGUAACGUAGCUAACGCGUGAAGUUGACCGCCUGGGGAGUACGGUCGCAAGAUUAAAACUCAAAGGAAUUGACGGGGUCAUAGCUGUUUCCU
rnacentral:rRNA from 1 species